rnacentral:misc_RNA from 1 species
CAACAACUGUCGACCUUCCAGCCACUGCCUCCAAGGUCAGUCUCUAGCAGAACAUUUGCAUAGGUGGAAUUUGAAAUUUGAAAACAACAGAACAUCCAUUUGCCACGGAUAAACUCUUUGUAUAUUAUUUUUCGUCGAAAAGGUCACUGUGCCUUAGUUUCGAAUACUUUGCAAAUAUGGGAGUUCAUGGAUUAUGGAAUCUACUUGAACCCGUCGGCAAACCUGUACCUCUAGAAGCACUCGAAAACAAAGUUCUUGCUGUUGAUGUAUCAAUAUGGCUACAUCAAGCAACAAAAGGGUUUCGGGAUGCCCAAGGAAAUCCAUUACCAAAUGCACAUCUGCUAGGCCUAUGUCAUCGCCUUUGCAAGCUUUUAUUUUUUAAAAUAAAGCCAAUAUUUGUUUUUGAUGGUGGUAUUCCAGUGCUGAAGCGACAAACCAUGGCUUCCCGUCAAAGCAGGAGAGAUACUGCAAUAAAGAACAAUAAUGUAGUGGCAGAAAAAAUCCUAACAAAUUACAUUAAGUCAGAAAUGAUAAAUAAUCAACUUGGGAAAACCAGAGGAAAAUCUGGAGCUCCAUUAUUUAAAAAGAAAAAACAGGAACCUGAUUUAUUUCAGCUGCCACCCCUCUCAAAGGACCCUGUUGAGGAAACAUCGGAAGAUUCAGAUUUUGAGACCUAUGAAAAUGAUGUUACCGGCGAUCUGGAAUCGGUUUUGUUUCAUAUGAAAGGGCACAACAUACAUUCCGUAGACGUUACAAGUGAAGCGUUCCGCGCGUUACCAACCGAAAUACAACAUGAAAUUCUUUUGGAGCUACGAGACACUCGCAAACAGUCUUCUUGGAACAAGCUUCAUCAAAUGCCUCAAGAAGCUGAUGAUUUUUCUGGAUUUCAAAUGGAAAGGCUGUUGAAACGACGAAAUUUGCAACAACGUCUAGACGAGGUGGUAAAAGAAAUUGGCCAAAAAACCCAUGAACAGUUUGCCCUAACCAAAGGAGACGUGUCCAAGUCGUACAAAAUAGCUUCUGAUAAUGUCACUCACUACGUCUUGAUUAAAAAAGCAUUGGAACACGAAAAAAAACCGACAGAAAUGUUAUCGGGGAAAAUCGGGAAUUUCAAAGUAUCUGAGCAAUCCGUUCCUAGUUUUGACCAUGUUGGCAUUGAAGAUGUCAUGGAAGUUGAUCAAUACGAGUUUAGUCAACAAGAGCUGUUCGCAAUAAUGGAAAGCGGAAACCAAGAACAGGCAGUUGCGUGUUCCAGUUCAUCUGGUGGAGAUUCAGAUUUUGAGGAAGUUCCACCUGUCAUACAUUCACCAGUAAAUAGGCUCAUACUAGAUAUCCCAAUCAACCCUAGAUUUUCCUGUGAAGAGGAUGAUGAUAUGUUUGCCGAUGUGUUUGCCCAUGCAGUGCCGCAGAAGACAGAAAAUUCAGGAAAACGUCCGAAAGUCGAAGAAAACAUAUUAACGAAUGAAACUGAGAAAGAAAAAUCAGGAGUACAAACACAUGGGCCUUUAAGCACCUUUCAAUCAACGGAAAACAGACCUUUAUUCGAUUUACUUGAAGUGAAAAAAGGGUUUGACCGUUUAGAACGUUCGACAUAUCUUCCGCCAGAGGAAAAAAGUGAAAAGAAAAAUGUCGAGAUAUUUUUAGAAGAAACAUCGUCAUUUCCUGAAAGAUGCGACAUUAGCUCAUCUGAAAAUUCUGCUACUGGCAUUGCUCGUAUGGAGAUGCAAGAUGUUAACGCCACAUUUGUUGAGGAAGAUAUUGCGUCAAUUCCCACAGUGGGUGCUUUCACAGAAAAUGCCACAUUUGUUGACAAAAAUAUAGUGUCAGCUAUCACAGUAGGUGCUUCUCCAGGAAACACCAAAUUUGUUGACGAAGAUAUUACAUCAGCUUCCACAGUGGAUUCUUCCGCCGAAGAACCUUUCCCAUGCGAUAAUUUCAUAAAUCCUGCGUUGGUUAGUAUCAGCGUUGAAACAUGUAAAAUCAACGAGAAGAACAAAAGAAAUGGUACCGAAGAACAAAUCGGUGAAAGAAUUGAAGCUCAGGAUAAUGUCACAGACAGAAACUCGCAGAUGGGUGAUGAUGCUUCACAUAACCCUUCGAAACUUGGUGAGAGACCUGUUAUUUCCAACAAAAGAAAGGAAGAACUUGAAGAAAUGGAUAAACUGAUCCUACAAGAGCAGUCAAUCCUAAUUCAGCAACAUGGAAAGCAGGAACGCCUUGCUGCGUCAAUUACUGACCAGAUGUAUUGCGAAUCUCAGGAAUUGUUAAGAUUGUUUGGAAUUCCUUUUCUUGUGGCUCCAAUGGAAGCUGAAGCGCAAUGCGCCUUCUUAGAUGAAGCUGGUCUAACCCAAGGCACCAUAACGGAUGACAGCGAUAUUUGGCUUUUUGGAGGACGCAGAGUGUACAAAAACUUCUUCAAUAAAGGAAAAUUUGUAGAAUUCUUUGAAGCAGAAGAUAUUCAUAAGGUUUUCAAACUAGGACGCGAAAAACUUGUUCAUUUGGCUCUUUUAACCGGCAGCGAUUAUACAGAAGGUAUUCAAGGCGUCGGACCAGUUUGUGCUCUGGAAAUUUUAGCAGAGUUCCCAAGUCAGGGGUUGGAAGCAUUGGAGCAGUUUCGGGAUUGGAUUCAUAGCAUCCAGACAAAGAAAAACGCACCUCCAGAGAACAAAAUUCGACAGAAAUUACGGAAUCUCCGAGUUAAUCCCGAAAAUAGGAUUGAAAAUUAGAGCCAGGCUUGAGAAUGUCACCAAGUUGCGAGCUGGCGGAGACGAUUUUCGUUGGUACCUCAAGGUAAAGUGUGGGAGUUGCAAUGAGGUGUCAGACAAAUGGAUUUAUAUUGCUCAAACAGAAUCAAAUGAAGUGAAGGGAGGGAGAGGGACAGCAAACAUAGUUGUCAAGUGCAAGUUUUGUUCCCGAGAAAAUAA